rnacentral:ncRNA from 1 species
UGUGGGCGUUAGAGCAUUGAGAGGACCUUUCCCUAGUACGAGAGGACCGGGAAGGACGCACCUCUGGUGUACCAGUUAUCGUGCCUACGGUAAACGCUGGGUAGCCAAGUGCGGAGAGGAUAACUGCUGAAAGCAUAUAAGUAGUAAGCCCACCCCAAGAUGAGUGCUCUCUCCUCCGACUUCCNUAGAGCCUCCGGUAUCACAGCCGAGACAGCGACGGGUUCUCCACCCAUACGGGGAUGGAGCGACAGAAGUAUGGAAAUAGGAUAAGGUAGCGGCGAGACGAGCCGUUUAAAUAGG